AGGGCACCACCAGGAGUGGAGCCUGCGGCUUAAUUUGACUCAACACGGGAAAACUCACCCGGCCCGGACACUGGAAGGAUUGACAGAUUGAGAGCUCUUUCUUGAUUCAGUGGGUGGUGGUGCAUGGCCGUUCUUAGUUGGUGGAGUGAUUUGUCUGGUUAAUCCCGAUAACGAACGAGACUCUAGCCUACUAAAUAGAUCGUCGGCUUACAAACGCCGGCGAGACUUCUUAGAGGGACAGGCGGUGAUUCAACCGCACGAAACAGAGCAAUAACAGGUCUGUGAUGCCCUUAGAUGUCCGGGGCCGCACGCGCGCUACACUGAAGUGAUCAGCGUGCUUUUUCAACCUACUCUGUCAAGAGUGGGGAACCCAAUGAACCUUCUUCGUGAUUGGGAUAGGGGAUUGUAAUUAUUCCCCUUGAACGAGGAAUUCCCAGUAAGCGCGAGUCAUAAGCUCGCGUUGAUUACGUCCCUGCCCUUUGUACACACCGCCCGUCGCUACUACCGAUCGAAUGUUUU
rnacentral:rRNA from 1 species